AGAAAGGGAGCGUCGGUUUUCUACUGUUGAGUGAAUGGAGUGUCUUAGUGGCGGACGGGUGAGUAACGCGUGAAUAACCUGCCUUGCAGUGGGGAAUAACACACCGAAAGGUGUGCUAAUACCGCAUGAUGUAAGGGGAAGGCAUCUUCCUCUUACCAAAGAUUUAUCGCUGUGAGAUGGAUUCGCGUCCGAUUAGAUAGUUGGUGAGGUAACGGCCCACCAAGUCGACGAUCGGUAGCCGGACUGAGAGGUUGAACGGCCACAUUGGGACUGAGACACGGCCCAGACUCCUACGGGAGGCAGCAGUGGGGGAUAUUGCACAAUGGGCGCAAGCCUGAUGCAGCGACGCCGCGUGUGGGAAGACGGCCCUCGGGUUGUAAACCACUGGCUUUGGGGACGAUAAUGACGGUACCCAAGGAGGAAGCUCCGGCUAACUACGUGCCAGCAGCCGCGGUAAUACGUAGGGAGCGAGCGUUGUCCGGAAUUACUGGGUGUAAAGGGAGCGUAG
rnacentral:rRNA from 1 species